rnacentral:rRNA from 1 species
AGCGAACGCUGGCGGCAGGCUUAACACAUGCAAGUCGAGCGGGCCCUUCGGGGUCAGCGGCGGACGGGUGAGUAACGCGUGGGAACGUGCCUUCUGGUCUGGAAUAACCCUGGGAAACUAGGGCUAAUACCGGAUACGCCCUUUUGGGGAAAGGUUUACUGCCGGAAGAUCGGCCCGCGUCUGAUUAGCUAGUUGGUGGGGUAACGGCCUACCAAGGCGACGAUCAGUAGCUGGUCUGAGAGGAUGAUCAGCCACACUGGGGCUGAGACACGGCCCAGACUCCUACGGGAGGCAGGAGUGGGGAAUAUUGGACAAUGGGCGCAAGCCUGAUCCAGCCAUGCCGCGUAAGUGAUGAAGGCCUUAGGGUUGUAAAGCUCUUUUAUCCGGGACGAUAAUGACGGUACCGGAGGAAUAAGCCCCGGCUAACUUCGUG